UUUGCGUCUUCCGCCUAUCCGACGGUGACGGAUGAGGUGAAAAGAGCCAAAUGCACAUAGGGAAGUGGGUCUCACAUGUCAUCUCCAUCCAUCAUCUUCUUUGCUCUCCCACCAUCUCUUUCUUUACCCAGAAAAGGAUGCUCCAUACAGCUCAUUAGCUAAAAGGAUUUUCAGUAGUAAAGUUGCAUGGAAUGGAGAACCAUUUUCCUUUAUCACUAAGGAAAGGAUUGACACAUGAUACCAGUAGUGAAAAAUAACUAGUUCACCCGGAAUAUUUGACGUUUAGGAUAAGAUUUGAUCAAAAUCUUUUAUAACUUUUAUUAUUUGACAAGAGAUUGGUAGUUUGUGUCAAGAGCAGAAUGAAACUAAGUAAGAAGAAUAGAAGUUUGUGGAACCGGUUAAUACUUUUUCCAUUUAUUGGAUGAUUUUAAUCCUCUAUCCAGUGCAGUGCCACCUGGGUCCAAUCGUUCAUGGAACAUGUAACAAAGCACACAACACGCAACAAACUAAUCAAGCACGCUGUUCAUCUCUUCCUCUCUUCAUUGUUCUCACUAGAGGCUUGUACAUAUUGCUGCUUCUCUCGCCCUUCUCUAUGAUCACGUGAUAUGCAGUAAAAGUCCCAAAACUCCCCAUUCUCUUUGUGUUUCAGAAGACUCAGGGCAGAUCAACAUAGAACUGCUCUAGUCGCCAAUACUGUUGGCCCAAAACCGAGAGACGUUAGCCCAACCUGGUGAAAACCUUGCUACACUCUAAAAGGUAGCUUAAGAGGUGAGGGACUCCCCUCACUUACUUUUAAGUUGAUUCAACUCCCCAUAGAUAAGCAAUGUGGGACUAUUCCCAACAAAUACCUCCACGGUGUCUGCAUUGUGAUGUUAAGCUAGGCACACUGUGUAGGUAAAACACAGGUCUUGCAUAAAGCUCAAUUUCUCGUACAGUAAAAAACUUCUCAAGGGAAUGGCCCCUGGCCCAGAUUUCCAUAUAAAGGAUACGGCGAGGAAAAAAACCUUCUUUAACCUGAAUUCUAAUUGAUUGGAUAUCCUGCAUAAGGAAUCGAAGGAAGACCCAACGAAAAAUGCACACUACUCCCACUUUUCUAUCAAAUCGGUCAUAAGCACUACCUAUAUUCCACAAAAUAGUGCCCCACAAGUAGGAUCUAAUAAAUAGGCAUGUGAUUCCGUAGAAAGACAUCACGACCCCCUAUGAAAAGAAAAGCCAGCUCCGGUUGGUGUCCUGAUGCCUUGCAUUCCAAUUGGCUACCAUCAGUUAUCUAGGCAACUCGUUACAGGCUGCUAAGACUGGCUGCCCCCUGCUUAUUUAACCGUAGUUGCUAUAUGCAACAAAAAAUAAAUAUGUGUGCAUUGUUGACUACAACAACUUCGCAUUGAUUCGUGUUGGUGUAUGUGUGCCUUUGUAAUGCUGCCCUGAAGAUGUUUGCCUGGACAAUUUAGAAGGGACGGGUAGGGAGCUCCUACAAUUUCACUAUAGAAGAAGGGAGAUCUGAGGAUGAUGGGUCCCAUGGCUACACCCCUAGUCCGACUCCUGCGAAAUCUGGGGCAGGUUCUCACAUUUCUCCAUGGGGAGAACACCCUCCUUGCGAUUUCCAGUACUGCGGCGAAAUCGGGGAUGACCGCCAGGAGGAAGAAAAAGAAAGGGAAGGUUGUACAAGUCGCCCGCGGCUUUUCAGACUAUAUAGUGCAACUUGUCUCCCUAGCUCUCUUCUUUUCUCAGAACUAGUCUGCUGGUCGACUAGAAAACACGUGUUAUAUAUAAGUCCGGAUAUUCUUCCGGUUAGUUCUGACUCCUCUAAUAGGUGUGUUGCAUGCUACUUAAUUACAUAAUACUGUGCCAUGGUAAAUUAAACCGGCAAUACUAGUACACAAAAUAACUAGGAGAUUUUCAGGGAUUGGAUGAAUCGAGGGCUUUUACUUGCAUGUGAACUCUGCUGGACAAGAGUUAAUUUAAUUGUUUUGGGAUGAUGUAUUAGUCGAUCCUGUCAGAUUAAAUGGGGGAAUAAUGAAGGUGCACAGUGAUUCGAUGGCUAGCUUUUCUGAGAAUUAUGGUGCAACUGAGCCGUUAAUCCUGUCAAUAAGUUUCGCAUUGGUGAGCUGCAUGCAUCAGCCAGUUCAGGGGAAAGUUUAAACCAAUGGAGAAUAACAUAGUUCAUUUAUACUCUAAUAGAUGCAAGCAGGCAAUGUAUGCGUAAGCUUUUUUAAGAUGUUAACUUUUGUAAAAAAUAUAACGGAACCUUUAUUGAUCAUUGUUGGAGAUAGAUCGUAGCCAGUAGCCCACCCUUUGG